AGGGGAGUGAAAAAGAACCUGAAACCGUGUACGUACAAGCAGUGGGAGCACAGGUUUACCUGUGUGACUGCGUACCUUUUGUAUAAUGGGUCAGCGACUUAUAUUCUGUAGCAAGGUUAACCGUAUAGGGGAGCCGCAGGGAAACCGAGUCUUAAUUGGGCGUUAAGUUGCAGGGUAUAGACCCGAAACCCGGUGAUCUAGCCAUGGGCAGGUUGAAGGUUGGGUAACACUAACUGGAGGACCGAACCGACUAAUGUUGAAAAAUUAGCGGAUGACCUGUGGCUGGGGGUGAAAGGCCAAUCAAACCGGGAGAUAGCUGGUUCUCCCCGAAAGCUAUUUAGGUAGCGCCUCGUGAAUUCAUCUCCGGGGGUAGAGCACUGUUUCGGCUAGGGGGCCAUCCCGGCUUACCAACCCGAUGCAAACUGCGAAUACCGGAGAAUGUUAUCACGGGAGACACACGGCGGGUGCUAACGUCCGUCGUGAAGAGGGAAACAACCCAGACCGCCAGCUAAGGUCCCAAAGUCAUGGUUAAGUGGGAAACGAUGUGGGAAGGCCCAGACAGCCAGGAUGUUGGCUUAGAAGCAGCCAUCAUUUAAAGAAAGCGUAAUAGCUCACUGGUCGAGUCGGCCUGCGCGGAAGAUGUAACGGGGCUAAACCAUGCACCGAAGCUGCGGCAGCGACGCUGAUGCGUUGUUGGGUAGGGGAGCGUUCUGUAAGCCUGCGAAGGUGGCCUGUGAGGGUUGCUGGAGGUAUCAGAAGUGCGAAUGCUGACAUAAGUAACGAUAAAGCGGGUGAAAAGCCCGCUCGCCGGAAGACCAAGGGUUCCUGUCCAACGUUAAUCGGGGCAGGGUGAGUCGACCCCUAAGGCGAGGCCGAAAGGCGUAGUCGAUGGGAAACGGGUUAAUAUUCCCGUACUUGGUGUUACUGCGAAGGGGGGACGGAGAAGGCUAUGUUGGCCGGGCGACGGUUGUCCCGGUUUAAGCGUGUAGGUGUGUGUUCCAGGUAAAUCCGGUUCACUUUAACACUGAGGCGUGAUGACGAGGCACUACGGUGCUGAAGCAACAAAUGCCCUGCUUCCAGGAAAAGCCUCUAAGCAUCAGGUAACAUCAAAUCGUACCCCAAACCGACACAGGUGGUCAGGUAGAGAAUACCAAGGCGCUUGAGAGAACUCGGGUGAAGGAACUAGGCAAAAUGGUGCCGUAACUUCGGGAGAAGGCACGCUGACACGUAGGUGAAGUGAUUUACUCACGGAGCUGAAGUCAGUCGAAGAUACCAGCUGGCUGCAACUGUUUAUUAAAAACACAGCACUGUGCAAACACGAAAGUGGACGUAUACGGUGUGACGCCUGCCCGGUGCCGGAAGGUUAAUUGAUGGGGUCAGCGCAAGCGAAGCUCCUGAUCGAAGCCCCGGUAAACGGCGGCCGUAACUAUAACGGUCCUAAGGUAGCGAAAUUCCUUGUCGGGUAAGUUCCGACCUGCACGAAUGGCGUAAUGAUGGCCAGGCUGUCUCCACCCGAGACUCAGUGAAAUUGAACUCGCUGUGAAGAUGCAGUGUACCCGCGGCAAGACGGAAAGACCCCGUGAACCUUUACUAUAGCUUGACACUGAACAUUGAGCCUUGAUGUGUAGGAUAGGUGGGAGGCUUUGAAGUGUGGACGCCAGUCUGCAUGGAGCCGACCUUGAAAUACCACCCUUUAAUGUUUGAUGUUCUAACGUGGACCCGUUACCCGGGUUGCGGACAGUGUCUGGUGGGUAGUUUGACUGGGGCGGUCUCCUCCUAAAGAGUAACGGAGGAGCACGAAGGUUGGCUAAUCCUGGUCGGACAUCAGGAGGUUAGUGCAAUGGCAUAAGCCAGCUUGACUGCGAGCGUGACGGCGCGAGCAGGUGCGAAAGCAGGUCAUAGUGAUCCGGUGGUUCUGAAUGGAAGGGCCAUCGCUCAACGGAUAAAAGGUACUCCGGGGAUAACAGGCUGAUACCGCCCAAGAGUUCAUAUCGACGGCGGUGUUUGGCACCUCGAUGUCGGCUCAUCACAUCCUGGGGCUGAAGUAGGUCCCAAGGGUAUGGCUGUUCGCCAUUUAAAGUGGUACGCGAGCUGGGUUUAGAACGUCGUGAGACAGUUCGGUCCCUAUCUGCCGUGGGCGCUGGAGAACUGAGGGGGGCUGCUCCUAGUACGAGAGGACCGGAGUGGACGCAUCACUGGUGUUCGGGUUGUCAUGCCAAUGGCACUGCCCGGUAGCUAAAUGCGGAAGAGAUAAGUGCUGAAAGCAUCUAAGCACGAAACUUGCCCCGAGAUGAGUUCU
rnacentral:rRNA from 1 species